rnacentral:tRNA from 1 species
GCCCCUGUGAUGCAACUGGUAGACGUGUUCGGCUCAAACCCGGAAUUUUUGCGAGUUCAAAUCUCGCCAGGGGUA